rnacentral:rRNA from 1 species
ACGGGAGGCAGCAGUGGGGAAUAUUGCACAAUGGGCGCAAGCCUGAUGCAGCGAUGCCGCGUGAGGGAAGAAGGUUUUCGGAUUGUAAACCUCUGUCAACAGGGACGAAAAUGACGGUACCUGUGAAGGAAGCUCCGGCUAACUACGUGCCAGCAGCCGCGGUAAUACGUAGGGAGCAAGCGUUAUCCGGAAUUACUGGGUGUAAAGGGAGUGUAGGCGGGACUGUAAGUCAGAUGUGAAAUAUGCCGGCUCAACUGGCAGACUGCAUUUGAAACUGCGGUUCUUGAGUGAAGUAGAGGCAAGCGGAAUUCCUAGUGUAGCGGUGAAAUGCGUAGAUAUUAGGAGGAACAUCAGCGGCGAAGGCGAGUAACUGGACCGCAACUGACACUGAGGCACGAAAGCGUGGGGAGCAAACAGGAUUAGAUACCCUGGUA